GGCCAGGUAGCUCAGUUGGUACGAGCGUCCGCCUGAAAAGCGGAAGGUCGCCGGUUCGAUCCCGGCCUUGGCCAC
rnacentral:tRNA from 5 species